ACCCUCAGCGAUCCCAUGGACUGCAGCCUUCCAGGCUCCUCCAUCCAUGGGAUUUUCCAGCAAGAGUACUGGAGUGGGGUGCCAUUGCCUUCUCUGUAGCAAAGUCUAGCUAGGUGUAAAGUAGUAACCGUACCCUUAACUCCACCAAGGAAGGUCCACCUCGUACACUAACUUACAGAAUAAAAGCAAGUCUGGGACAAUGAAGUUAUAUCUUAUAAUUCUCAAACUCCAUGGUCUUUUCCAGAGUUAUCCAACAUUUAUGAUUUCAGACUCAUUGGGACAGACUUUAGAUUAUAGAAGAACAGACUCCAUGAUUUAGCUAUCACAAAGUUUGGAGUGGGAUCUGAAAGGCUAUAGGUGCAAGAAAAACCCAGGUGAAUCUGAUGAUUAACUAGGCUUGGGCAUCAUUGAUUACAGCUACUUGCAAAUCAUUCCAGCCUAACCCAGCUCAUAAUUGACUAAACAGCAUGGACCAGGGGAGAGAGUAUUGGAGAGCUCAGUUUUACUUUUGCUUUAGAUGCUGCCUGGUGAGGUCUGGACAGUUCCCCCCUCCCUCACCCUUUUCCUUCACUGUAUCAAGUCAUGUAUGGAUGUGAGAGUUGGACUGUGAAGAAAGCUGAGCACUGAAGAGUUGAUGCUUUUGAACUGUGGUGUUAGAGAAGACUCUUGAGAGUCCCUUGGACUGUAAGGAGAUCCAACCAGUCCAUCCUAAAGGAGAUCGGUCCUGGGUGUUCAUUGGAAGGACUGAUGUUGAAGCUGAAACUCCAAUACUUUGGCUACCUGAUGUGAAGAGCUGACUCACUUGAAAAGACCCCGAUGCUGGGAGGAAUUGAAGGCAGAAUAAGGGGAUGACAGAGGAUGAGAUGGCUGGAUGGCAUCACCGACUCGAUGGACAUGGGUUUGGGUGGACUCUGGGAGUUGGUGAUGGACAGGGAGGCCUGGCAUGCUGCGGUUCAUGGGGUUGCAAAGAGCUGGACACAACUAGUGACUGAACAGAACUGAGUAUUCCAGUUUUAAAAAUCAAUUUUAGAGAAAUAUAGAUAUUUCAAUUUCUUGAACUCUUUUGCUAACUGACACCAAAUUUUACCUGGGGACAUCUUUAAAAUGUCCUCUAAUUAUUUGAUCUCUACUUACUUCUUCAUUGAACAUGUUAUAUUUUUUCUUCUGUACUAAUUUAACAUUUUAGUGGCAACUAUGUUUCAUGCUUUUUACAAGUUGUUCAUCAAGUCAACCUUGAUACUGAAUUUAUCUGAGGUUUAUACUAAUCCCCCUCAUCUACUUCUGUUGUUUUUUCCUCUUGUCUUUAAGGUCCUCUUUCAUUAAAUGGAAGUUUUUGUUGGUGUUUCUAUUGCGGUGAGACUUGAGGAGAUCUAAUUAAAAAUAAAACCUCCUCCGAACUCAGAAAACUCCUCCAAAACAUUGAGGAUAAAGAAUGUCUUACUAUUGAAUAAAUAUUAAAACAGAAUGACAAUAGGAUAACAAUAGUAGGUAACCUUUCCCAAUAUUUGCCAUGUUCCCCACUCAAAGCUAAUUGGCUGACAUUCAGCAGUGCAUUUAGUUCUCAUAAAAUCUUUAUAAGGUGAUUUUUAAAAAAUUCUCAUUUUACAAUGAGGCUCAGAAAUAAGAGUAACAUAUAUUGUCACACAACUGGUGGAGACUGCAUUUAAGCUUAGGUUUCUCCAACUCUAGAAAGCCUAUUCUCACCACUUUGUCUUAUUGCUUUCUUCCUUCCAAAGUUGUUUAUGAUACAUCAGUAAUACAACUUACAUUAGAAUAUAUAAAUAUAAAAACAGCAUUGUUGGGGGCCAGCGUGAGGUACUCUGCCCAUGGCAAAGGUCAUGAGGAAGGAGGCUCGACAUACGCAAAGGCGGGAUCCAGCCUCAGGAGUCCCCCUGGAAAUCCUCGAGCAUCUACCCCCAUAACCAGAGCCUGCCUACUUUACUACUUUGUGCUCUACACCUCUGACUUUAAGGGGAGCUGUCCCCCACCACCUCUUUCGGAGAAGGAGUUAACUUAGAGCUCCAGUUAAUAAUAAUUCCUGGGCGUGAUAAGAGUGUUUUAACCUACAAACUCCUCUGAAGGUUCUCUAGCCUGCCUGACAGGCUUGUCCGGCCACAUGUGAUUGCUCACAGCCUCCCAACCAUCAGAGGCAUGAGAUGCUUUAAACCUUCUAAAACC
ensembl:lncRNA